rnacentral:misc_RNA from 1 species
AAGAUGCUUGUCCUCACAGCAUCUCGUAAAGGCAAACGCAUAACAAUAGCAUCUAUUAUAUUAUCAGGAAGAUUGCUAAGUAUAUCAGGAGCUAGAGCUCGAGAACCACGCUUCUUUUCCUUAGGAGGCAUGAUACAACAAUAAUUUCCAGUAAGACCUGCAUGAAGUACACAACAAUACAAAGGUAAAGAAUGGCAAAACUAUCUGGAUAGAGUGAAUCAGCAUCACAUAACACUUAUUCACAUUAUUAAUCAU